GAUGAACGCUGGCGGCGUGCUUAACACAUGCAAGUCGAACGAUGAAGCCCAGCUUGCUGGGUGGAUUAGUGGCGAACGGGUGAGUACACGUGAGUAACCUGCCCUUAACUCUGGGAUAAGCCUGGGAAACUGGGUCUAAUACCGGAUAGGAGCGUCCACCGCAUGGGGGGUGUUGGAAAGAUUUAUCGGUUUUGGAUGGACUCGCGGCCUAUCAGCUUGUUGGGGAGGUAAUGGCUCACCAAGGCGACGCCGGGUAGCCGGCCUGAGAGGGUGACCGGCCCCACUGGGACUGAGACACGGCCCAGACUCCUACGGGAGGCAGCAGUGGGGAAUAUUGCACAAUGGGCGCAAGCCUGAUGCAGCGACGCCGCGUGAGGGAUGACGGCCUUCGGGUUGUAAACCUCUUUCAGUAGGGAAGAAGCGAAAGUGACGGUACCUGCAGAAGAAGCACCGGCUAACUACGUG
rnacentral:rRNA from 1 species